UGUGCUGUACUUUGAGGACGAAGAUCAUAGAAGGUUAAGAUAAACCACUCCUGCAAAAUGCAAUGGACUGAGGUGUAGUACACAAUGGAGCGUAGUCUCCACCAC